rnacentral:rRNA from 1 species
UACGUAGGGUGCAAGCGUUAAUCGGAAUUACUGGGCGUAAAGCGUGCGCAGGCGGUUGUGUAAGACAGGUGUGAAAUCCCCGGGCUUAACCUGGGAAUUGCAUUUGUGACUGCACGACUAGAGUGUGUCAGAGGGGGGUGGAAGUUCCACGUGUAGCAGUGAAAUGCGUAGAUAUGUGGAGGAACACCAAUGGCGAAGGC